UCGAGAAUCUUCCGCAAUGGACGAAAGUCUGACGGAGCGACGCCGCGUGGUGGAUGAAGUCCCUCGGGACGUAAACACCUUUUAUGGGGGAAGAAGUUUAUUGACUGUACCCCAUGAAUAAGGGGCUCCCAAUUCUGUGCCAGCAGGAGCGGUAAUACAGAAGCCCCGAGCGUUACCCGGAUUCACUGGGCGUAAAGGGUGCGUAGGCGGUUGUAUUAGUCUUGUGUUAAAUCCUUAAGCUCAACUUAAGGCCCGCAUAAGAAACGGUACGACUAGAAGAAGUGAGAGGUGAAUAGAACUCUCGGUGUAGGGGUGAAAUCCGUUGAUAUCGAGGGGAAUACCAAAUGCGAAGGCAAUUCACUGGCACUUUCUUGACGCUGAGGCACGAAAGCGUGGGUAG
rnacentral:rRNA from 1 species